rnacentral:rRNA from 1 species
CCUACGGGAGGCUGCAGUGGGGAAUAUUGGACAAUGGGGGCAACCCUGAUCCAGCCAUGCCGCGUGUGUGAAGAAGGCCCUCGGGUUGUAAAGCACUUUCAGUGAGGAAGAACGCCUGGUGGUUAAUACCCAUCAGGAAAGACAUCACUCACAGAAGAAGCACCGGCUAACUCCGUGCCAGCAGCCGCGGUAAUACGGAGGGUGCGAGCGUUAAUCGGAAUUACUGGGCGUAAAGCGCGCGUAGGUGGCUUGAUAAGCCGGUUGUGAAAGCCCCGGGCUCAACCUGGGAACGGCAUCCGGAACUGUCCAGCUAGAGUGCAGGAGAGGAAGGUAGAAUUCCCGGUGUAGCGGUGAAAUGCGUAGAGAUCGGGAGGAAUACCAGUGGCGAAGGCGGCCUUCUGGACUGACACUGACACUGAGGUGCGAAAGCGUGGGUAGCAAACAGGAUUAGAUACCCCAGUAGUC